GCUUUACAAACACCAAACUUAAUAGCAGUGUUGCGAAGUUAAGACGACGAUAGAUCUAAUAGCUAAUGAUUCAAAUGAUUUCCAACACACAAAAAAAAUACACAUACACAGGCAGCCCAAUAUUACGGAAUGAAAUCACUGAUCAUCACCUAUUUAAUGAACUGUUAUGGAAUGAUACAUUUAAAUUCAGGCUCAAAUUAUUAUGUAGUGAUCAUCAUCUAGCAAGAAACCGCUGAUAUUUUGUCAAAUCAGCAGCCUAUCUUGACUGAACACCAAAAUUAACAACGAGGAAAUAGGAGAUAAGGUGGUGACAGUUAGAAUAUGGGUUAUAACAUGAUGUUCAAUUCUCAGCAUUUCAAAGACGACCUAGACACUCAUUCAGGAAUCAAACAACAUCGAUGAAUGCUUGUCGAAGCUUAUUGUUUGAACAAAUGCAACAGGAAAUAUCCUCGACACUAUAUAAAGCUACAAUCACCAGAUUUGCAACAUCAGCAGGGGAUCCAUUUUGAAGCAAGUAUGAGCUGAAGGAUAACACUAAAACAAUCUUCGAAAUCGAUACAAACACGAAUACAAUAUUGAAACCACACAAAUUUUACCCUCAUCUAUUCAGAAUCUGACUCACUACACAUGAAUUCAUGGAGAACAUUGAAAGCAUAACAAUAAAUGAAGUCGAGGGUAACCAUACAAGCCUCAUCUAUUUUUGUUUAACAUUCCCUCACUACACAUGAAUUCAUGGAGAACAUUGAAAGCAUAACAAUAAAUGAAGUCGAGGGUAACCAUACGAGCCUCGUAUAUUAUCACGACUGAAUUCAUUUUAACAAUCCUUCCAGGUCCAUCCAGGACUCAUUCACAAUAGAAAUAAUAGAAGGAGCAGAGAUAAACCUGAAAAAAAUGUAAGAGAAUCUCAGCACUUGAAAUCGAUGCAAAGCAACAGCAGCCACAGAUCGAUUACUCGAUCAACAACGAAUUCCAAUCACUUUGAAGACGGAAUAUAUGUAUUUCAAAACGGGUGAACAGUGAAUCGAACAACAAAAAGUCAUAGGACUUCAAACAUUUUCUGCAUAUGUGUUUUUUAGUAUCUACACUGCGAAUAAAAACAGAAUAAAUGUGAAGAACACUAGCUAUAGAAUUUUACUCCUCUUCUAUUUUCCUUCAGGUCCUCUCCUCUAAAAAAAGACCCCUGUAUCUAAUAUCCGAUCAUGUCCUUUAUAGAGACGUACCCCUGAUGAAAAUGGGGCUUGGAUUGAACGAAGUCAAUCCAACGACUCAUCCUCAUCCAACGACUCAUCUCUAGGACCUUCCAAUCGCGUGCUAAAUCUCUGACCUGAGCGAGUGAAAGGAAGGAGCAUUUUUAGUUCCAGAAAUCGUUAGAAAUGGUGAGAUAAGAGAAGGAGGGACCCGUGAAUUAAGGAUUUGGGCUUCACUCUCUUGGAUUUGAACGGAAUGUGGGGCUAGAUUCGCAUGUUCUUCAGAUGGGAUGAACAAUCGCGUUGGUUUUUAGGGAUUCUGUGAGUUUUGGGUUGUGUAGGAGUGGGUAUAGAGACAGGGUCGGGUCCC
rnacentral:lncRNA from 1 species